UACGGAGGGGGCUAGCGUUGUUCGGAAUUACUGGGCGUAAAGCGCACGUAGGCGGCUUUGCAAGUUAGAGGUGAAAGCCCGGGGCUCAACUCCGGAAUUGCCUUUAAAACUGCAUCGCUAGAAUUGUGGAGAGGUAAGUUGGAAUUCCGAGUGUAGAGGUGAAAUUCGUAGAUAUUCGGAAGAACACCAGUGGCGAAGGCGACUUACUGGACACAUAUUGACGCUGAGGUGCGAAAGCGUGGGGAGCAAACAGGG
rnacentral:rRNA from 1 species